CAAAUUCAAGACCUCACACCCGCCAGGCAGGUGCUGUGCCACUGAGCUAUAUCACUGGACCUUGAUUUAUUUGAUUCACGGCUUUGCAGACUGCCAAGUUCAAACCACGGCAUUGGUACAGUUGCCCAGGUGAUAGUUCCUGUUCCAGAUCCGGUUGCUCCUGUCUUAGGAACGGCUGGUCACUGUGAUGCGCAUUGUGUAAACCCAUCCCCAUUGACAAGCCGUUCUGCCUCUGUCUUCCUGCUGCUUCUCCCAUAUGAGCCCUACACCGCCAGAUAUCAGGGCCUGAUAUUUCCGGAGUGCUCCCGAUCGGUGCCCGUUGAUGUGAACAGCAUCUUGGUAAUCUGCUAUGUUGCCUAGGCUGGGCUCAGACUUGUGACCCUCCUGCCUCAGCCUCCUGAGCUGGGAUUACAGCGUGCUGCCGGAAGUCCUGCCCCAUUACCUUUGAAGAAAGCAGCUGGGUGCCGCAACACUUGCUCCGGGGCUGUGUGCCAAGGCUCCAGACCCAUCCCAGGAGGAUGACAGGGAGGGACAUAGGGAGCUACUGGUGACCCACUUCCUGUAUGUGCACAGGCUGAAUCUAAGGACGAAGAAAACUAGCCUGGAGGAAUGGCUGCGGGUCAGCAGUGUAGAGGUGACCAGGGAAGACACAGGACAGAAUGAGCUAAUCCAGAACAAUGUACUACAGAAAGAAGACAGAGAUUACAACAUGCAAAAACUGACCACUAUUUGCUACUUCUGCGAACAGUUUGGCAACUGCAGCCUCCCCAGUUCUGAGGCCAACAACUUGUUCAUUUGAUGAAGGCGGUCUUAGGAUAUUGUUUCCAUCGAUGUAUGAACAACCGUGCAUCUUCUCUCUCGGCCCACUUGUCCUGACAGAAGUUUCUUAGUAUGAUACUAUCACAACGAGGCCAUUGCAAGCACCCAAGGGAAGAGGUCAGUAGACACAGACAACAGAAAUUUUUUUAAUAAUUAAUGAUACAGAGACUUACAGAAACGGUUCAAGAAAGCAGGAAACAGCAAUGCUCCCAACUGGGUUUACAGAAUUUUCAAGUUUCCCAUUGUUCCUGCAUUGUGAGAAGGAAAACGCCUUCCUUGCCAUCUGUCAGAGAACUUCCACUUCCCUUCUUCUUCUGCCUGGCUCUCAGAAGUCUCUGCAGUGGCUGUGUCUGCCCUUCAGUUGCCAUCAACACAAAUCAUCAAGAUUGGAACACUCCAGAGUUUAUUCUGAGAUUACCUGAGUUAAAGGUAAUUUUUCCAAGUAGACCACAUACUGUAGCAGGUCCAGAUUUCAAGGUUGCUUUCGCUAUGUCCAUUUCUAUACAUGGUGUUUCCACAUUUAUCAUGGUUAUCUGUGCAUUAUUAGAAGAAAUACAGGCUGGGGGGUGCACCCCAGUGAUGGAGUUCGUGAUCAGCAUGCACAGGCCCUAACUUCCAUUCCCAGUACCGAAACACAACACAACACACCAUACCGCAACACCUUAUUCACUCAGAGUCUGGUGUCAGGUUGCCAGGGUUUGCGUCUCAGGAUAACCCACCAUCCUGAUAUUCCUAAGACUGAGGAGGUUCACAGGGGUGCAGAACUUGUCAGAAUUAAAACCAGGACAAUGAUCACCCUACAGUGGCGGCCAAUCUACGGCACACGUGUCGCUGCGGGCUCUGUGUGUCACUGAAAUCUCUCAAAGUUUGCCAUCACUGUCCUAGGAUUUUUCUACUUGCUAACUGUGUGACCUUACACAAGGUACUUAACCUCUCAGAGCUUCAGGUUGCUCACAUCUAAAAGGGAGAAAAGGGUUUCUAGCAACAUGGAAGUAUAUUGGGGCUUUAAAAUAAGUUAAUACUUAUAAAACGCGAACACUUUCUGUCAUGUGUGUGUUUGUUAAAUUAAAAAAUUAAGGAAGACAUUUUCCUCUAGACGUAAUCUCAGUGUUCAAACAAUUCUUUUAUUUUCUGCCAUUCCCUUAGAGGCUUAAAAAAGUGCAUUUCUUGUUAAUACACAUAUAUAAUUCUGACAAUUUGAGUUUUUAUCGUCUAGUAAUUUUUACAUAUACAAUACGUACUCAAAAAUAACCCUUCCACAGUAAAGUGGAACUGAAGGGACGCGAGUGUAAACUGAAGGGUGGCAAAGAGGCUCUCCAGGUUGAAGGUGCCGCCAAGCCCUUGACUCUGUCUCCCUUCUGCCCUUACACUGCCUGGAGCAGCGCCCCCUUACGUAACUGUCGUGCGCAGUUGGGCUUGUACGCUUAUUACUGCGCGAGGGAGCAGGCCGGGGGCCGGGCGGUGGGCGUAAGGAGAGCCCCGCGGCAGCUUCCUGCGUCGUGGGCGAGAGCUUGGCCGGAGACUACUGACACCUGAAAACUUGCAGCAGAAAUGAAAGACCGGUGAGCAUUAGCACUCUGACACCAGAUUAAUCACCCCUUCUCCAGGGAAGGGGAGUGGC